rnacentral:rRNA from 1 species
GACGAACGCUGGCGGCGUGCUUAACACAUGCAAGUCGAACGGAAAGGCCAUGCUUUUGUGGGGUGCUCGAGUGGCGAACGGGUGAGUAACACGUGAGUAACCUGCCCUUGACUUUGGGAUAACUUUAGGAAACUGGGGCUAAUACCGGAUAGGAGCUCCUGCUGCAUGGUGGGGGUUGGAAAGUUUCGGCGGUUGGGGAUGGACUGGCGGGUUAUCAGCUACUUGGUGGGGUAGUGGCUUACCAAGGUUUUGACGGGUAGCCGGCAUGGGAGGGUGGCCGGCCACAAUGGGACUAAGAUACGGCCCAGACUCCUACGGGAGGCAGCAGUGGGGAAUAUUGCACAAUGGGCGGAAGCCUGAUACAGCAGCGCCGCGUGCGGAAUGACGGCCUUCGGGUUGUAAACCGCUUUCGCCUGUGACGAAGCGUGAGUGACGGUAAUGGGUAAAGAAGCACCGGCUAACUACGUG